rnacentral:rRNA from 1 species
CUUGGUCAUUUAGAGGAAGUAAAAGUCGUAACAAGGUUUCCGUAGGUGAACCUGCGGAAGGAUCAUUAUUGAAUAAACCUGAUGGGUUGCAGCUGGUUCCUUCGGGUGCAUGUGCUCGCCUGUCAUCUUUAUAUCUCCACCUGUGCACACUUUGUAGACCUGAAUAAAACUCUCCGAGGCAACUCGGGUUUUGGAGGAAUUGCUUCAUCAGCUGUCCUUGAAAUUUUCAGGCCUAUGUUUUUUUCAUAUACCCCAUUGUAUGUAACAGAAUGUCUCAAAUGGGCCUUGUUGCCUAUAAAACAAAUACAACUUUCAGCAACGGAUCUCUUGGCUCUCGCAUCGAUGAAGAACGCAGCGAAAUGCGAUAAGUAAUGUGAAUUGCAGAAUUCAGUGAAUCAUCGAAUCUUUGAACGCAACUUGCGCUCCUUGGUAUUCCGAGGAGCAUGCCUGUUUGAGUGUCAUUAAUUUCUCAACCUUUAUCAGCUUUUUGUUGGUAAAUGGCUUGGAUGUGGGGGUUUUUGCGGGUUUCUUCAAUGAGAUCGGCUCCUCUGAAAUGCAUUAGCGGUACCUUUGCGGAACCGUCUAUUGGUGUGAUAAUUAUCUACGCCGUGGACAUCUGCUUUGAAUAGGUUAUGCUGCUUCUAACCGUCCCUUUGCUGGGACAAUUUAACAAAUGACAAUUUUGACCUCAAAUCAGGUAGGACUACCCGCUGAACUUAAGCAUAUCAAUAAGCGGAGGAAAAGAAACUAACAAGGAUUCCCCUAGUAACUGCGAGUGAAGCGGGAAAAGCUCAAAUUUAAAAUCUGGCAGUCUUCGAUUGUCCGAGUUGUAAUCUAGAGAAGUGUUAUCCGCGUUGGACCGUGUACAAGUCUCCUGGAAUGGAGCGUCAUAGAGGGUGAGAAUCCCGUCUUUGACACGGACUGCCAAGGCUUUGUGAUGCGCUCUCAAAGAGUCGAGUUGUUUGGGAAUGCAGCUCAAAAUGGGUGGUAAAUUCCAUCUAAAGCUAAAUAUUGGCGAGAGACCGAUAGCGAAACAAGUACCGUGAGGGAAAGAUGAAAAGAACUUUGGAAAGAGAGUUAAACAGUACGUGAAAUUGCUGAAAGGGAAACGCUUGAAGU